rnacentral:rRNA from 1 species
GGCACACACACUUUGAUCCGGAGAUGUCCGAAUGAGGAAACUCAUCAUUUUAUGAUAUCAUUCACUGAAUACAUAGGUGUCUGAAGCUAACGAGGGGAAGUGAAACAUCUCAGUACCCUCAGGAAGAGAAAUCAAUUCCGAGAUUACCUUAGUAGUGGCGAGCGAACGGGUAAGAGCCUAAACCUUAAUCAUUAAUUUGAUUGAGGGGUCGUGGGACCGCAAUGUGCGACUCGAGAGGUUAGAACAACAGUCUGGAAAGUCUGGCGAGACAGGGUGAUAGCCCCGUGUUCGAAAACCUCAGAAGCGCUAGCGGCAUCCCGAGUACCACAAAACACGUGAAAUUUUGUGGGAAUCUGUGAGGACCACCUCAUAAGGCUAAAUAUUCCUUAGUGACCGAUAGAGAACAAGUACCGUGAGGGAAAGGUGAAAAGAACCCCGAGAGGGGAGUGAAAUAGAACCUGAAACCGUAAGCUUACAAGCAGUUAGAGCCCCUUAAGUGGGUGAUAGCGUACCUUUUGCAUAAUGAGUCAGCGAGUUAUGUUUGCAAGCGAGAUUAAGCCGUUGAAGGUGUAGUCGUAGCGAAAGCGAGUCUGAAUAGGGCGUUUAGUUUGCAGGCAUAGACCCGAAACCCGGUGAUCUAAUCAUGGAC